AAAUGAAGACCUCUAUUUUGAGUCUUAUUUAUACUUGUGAUCUUGAUCCUGCUCUAAUUUUAUGUCUUGGCUUCUCUCCAAAAAUUAUUUUCAUAAAACAUAUGCAUAUCAUAAAUAUUUUUUAUACUCUUGGAAUAAAUUGAUUUUCAUGUUCUAAAUUGAACCAAAAAGGUUAUUAAAAGUGUCUUUAAUAUUUAAGACAUAUAUUAUAUUUUUG
rnacentral:lncRNA from 1 species